UACGAAGGGGGCUAGCGUUGCUCGGAAUCACUGGGCGUAAAGGGCGCGUAGGCGGCCGUAUAAGUCGGGGGUGAAAGCCUGUGGCUCAACCACAGAAUUGCCUUCGAUACUGUACGGCUCGAGACCGGAAGAGGUAAGUGGAACUGCGAGUGUAGAGGUGAAAUUCGUAGAUAUUCGCAAGAACACCAGUGGCGAAGGCGGCUUACUGGUCCGGUUCUGACGCUGAGGCGCGAAAGCGUGGGGAGCAAACAGG
rnacentral:rRNA from 1 species